rnacentral:rRNA from 1 species
GAGUUUGAUCGUGGCUCAGAUUGAACGCUGGCGGCAUGCUUUACACAUGCAAGUCGAACGGCAGCGCGGGCUUCGGCCUGGCGGCGAGUGGCGAACGGGUGAGUAAUAUAUCGGAACGUACCCAGGGGUGGGGGAUAACGUAGCGAAAGUUACGCUAAUACCGCAUACGCUCUACGGAGGAAAGCAGGGGAUCGCAAGACCUUGCGCGCUUGGAGCGGCCGAUAUCUGAUUAGCUAGUUGGUGGGGUAAAGGCUCACCAAGGCAACGAUCAGUAGCUGGUCUGAGAGGACGACCAGCCACACUGGGACUGAGACACGGCCCAGACUCCUACGGGAGGCAGCAGUGGGGAAUUUUGGACAAUGGGGGCAACCCUGAUCCAGCAAUGCCGCGUGAGUGAAGAAGGCCUUC